rnacentral:rRNA from 1 species
GCCUGCGCGGAAGAUGUAACGGGGCUAAGCUAUACACCGAAGCUGCGGCUACGCACUAUGUGCGUGGGGUAGGGGAGCGUUCUGUAAGCCGUUGAAGGUGGCCUGUAAGGGCUGCUGGAGGUAUCAGAAGUGCGAAUGCUGACAUGAGUAACGAUAAAGGGAGUGAAAAACUCCCUCGCCGGAAGACCAAGGGUUCCUGUCCAACGU